GACGAACGCUGGCGGCGUGCCUAAUACAUGCAAGUCGAACGCAGGGGGGACGGGUGAGUAACACGUGGGUAACCUCCCAUCAGAGGGGAUAACACUUGGAAACAGGUGCUAAACCGAUACUGAUGGAUGGACCCGCGGUGCAUGAGCUAGUUGGGGAGGUAACGGCUCACCAAGGCCACGAUGCAUAGCCGACCCUAGAUGGUGCUGCGCCACACGUGGACCUAGACCAGGCCCAGACUCCUACGGGAGGACGCAGUAGGGAAGUUUCGGCCAUGGAAGAAAGUCUUACCGAGGAAACGCGGGUGAGUGAAGAAGGUUUUCCGAUAGGAAAACUUGUUUGUUAGAGAAGCCGUAUUCAACCAGAAAGCCACGGCUAACUACGUGCCAGCCGCCGCGGUAAUAC
rnacentral:rRNA from 1 species